AUUGAACGCUGGCGGCAGGCCUUACACAUGCAAGUCGAACGAGUGGCGGAAGGGUUAGUAAUGUCUGGGAAACUGCCCGAUGGAGGGGGAUAACUACUGGAAACGGUUGCUAAUACCGCAUAUAAUGGGAUGUGCCCAGAUGGGAUUAGCUAGGUGGUGGGGUAACGGCUCACCUAGGCGACGAUCCCUAGCUGGUCUGAGAGGAUGACCAGCCACACUGGGACUGAGACACGGUCCAGACUCCUACGGGAGGCAGCAGUGGGGAAUAUGGCACAAUGGGCGCAAGCCUGAUGCAGCCAUGCCGCGUGUAUGAAGAAGGCCUUCGGGUUGUAAAGUACUUUCGGCAAGGAAGCGGUACUCGCAGAAGAAGCACCGGCUAACUCCGUGCCAGCAGCCGCGGUAAUUC
rnacentral:rRNA from 1 species